rnacentral:lncRNA from 1 species
GUCGACCUAGGGUCAUCGGUCGGAUUUUCCGAUCGAGCCCCCCGAGAUGGAUUUCCGGCCAUCGCACCAGAACCGAAGGAAAGGUGAGGCCGAAAAGGAAGAAGAAGAAGAAAAAGAAGGAGAAGAAGAAGAAGAAGGAGAAGAAGAAGAAGAAGAAGGAGAAGAGGAAGAAGAAAGAAGGGAAGGAUCACGAACCACCAGG